rnacentral:rRNA from 1 species
CCCUACGGGGUGCACCAGGCGCGAAACCUCCGCAAUGCGAGCAAUCGCGACGGGGGAGAACCCAAGUGCCACUCUUAACGGGGUGGCUUUUCUGUAAGUGUAAAAAG